rnacentral:lncRNA from 1 species
GCACCAUUUGUCUCCAAGUGACUGACAUAGGAACCUGAUGCGAGGGCGAUCUGCGAUUGUUUUUUCCAGGAAGAAAGGAAAGAGCAAGGUGUAGCUGAUUAGCAAGUUAAUUAUUUCAGUAUCCCAAGGGUUCCAGUGUGGUGGAGGCAGCCCACGGCACCAGGCUCCAGAGAGCCAGCUUCCUGACUUCAGCGGUGUGAAGAUGAUCCAGUACAUUUUUGGUUCUGGCUUUCAGCCGUCCCCCAAGCAGAUGGGGAACUGAGGUCUAGGGAGGAGAAGAGCCUUGCUUACGGACACGUAGCGAGUUCACAGGGAGGCCUGCCUUCC